UCCCUUAGAUGUCCUGGGCCGCACGCGCGUUACACUGAUGCAUUCAACGAGCUUAUAACCUUGGCCGAGAGGCCUGGGCAAUCUUGUUAACGUGCAUCGUGAUAGGGAUAGAUUAUUGAAAUUAUUAAUCUUGAACGAGGAAUUCCUAGUAAACGCAGAUCAUCAAUCUGCAUUGAUUACGUCCCUGCCCUUUGUACACACCGCCCGUCGCACCUACCGAUUGGAUGGUCCGGUGAAGCCUCGGGAUUGUGGUUCUUGCCGCUUUAUUGUGGCGUGACCGCGAGAACUUGUCUAAACCUUAUCAUCUAGAGGAAGGUGAAGUCGUAACA
rnacentral:rRNA from 1 species